UUUUUGUUUGGAUUGAAGGCAUUUAUCAGUGGAAAAAAACAGGCUUUUAUAUGUUAAAUUAUACCCAGAGAUAUCGAGCUUAACAAGGGACAAUCCCCCAAUUGUAUCUUUCACCAUCCGAGUGGUUUCCUCUGCAGGAGGUCGGAAGGCUUGGACUCAUCCAGACAUAAUAGACAAACAGCUUAAGAACAACGACGAUUUUAUUUGGCCAAUUGAAGUUCCAUUAACAGGAAAGUUCAUCAUUGACAUCGAAUUCAUUGACUUGAAGAUUGCAUCGCCCGAGGGUGGGGAACCUUCCUCC